AGAGUUUGAUCCUGGCUCAGGACGAACGCUGGCGGCGUGCUUAACACAUGCAAGUCGAACGAGAGGAGAAGAGAAGCUUGCUUCUUUUCGAAUCGAGUGGCAAACGGGUGAGUAACACGUAAACAACCUGCCUUCAGGAUGGGGACAACAGACGGAAACGACUGCUAAUACCGAAUACGCUCAAAGGGCCGCAUGGCCUAUUGAGGAAAGGGUGGCCUCUACCUGUAAGCUAUCGCCUGAAGAGGGGUUUGCGUCUGAUUAGGCAGUUGGUGAGGUAACGGCCCACCAAACCUACGAUCAGUAGCCGGUCUGAGAGGAUGAACGGCCACACUGGAACUGAGACACGGUCCAGACUCCUACGGGAGGCAGCAGUGGGGAAUCUUCCGCAAUGGACGAAAGUCUGACGGAGCAACGCCGCGUGAGUGAUGAAGGUCUUCGGAUUGUAAAACUCUGUUGUUAGGGACGAAAGCACCGUGUUCGAACAGGUCAUGGUGUUGACGGUACCUAACGAGGAAGCCACGGCUAACUACGUGCCAGCAGCCGCGGUAAUACGUAGGUGGCAAGCGUUGUCCGGAAUUAUUGGGCGUAAAGCGCGCGCAGGCGGCUUCCUAAGUCCAUCUUAAAAGUGCGGGGCUUAACCCCGUGAUGGGAUGGAAACUGGGAAGCUGGAGUAUCGGAGAGGAAAGUGGAAUUCCUAGUGUAGCGGUGAAAUGCGUAGAGAUUAGGAAGAACACCGGUGGCGAAGGCGACUUUCUGGACGACAACUGACGCUGAGGCGCGAAAGCGUGGGGAGCAAACAGGAUUAGAUACCCUGGUAGUCCACGCCGUAAACG
rnacentral:rRNA from 1 species